rnacentral:lncRNA from 1 species
GUACUGCCGUGUGUUGGGCUCAUAUGAGCCCCUAGGAUCCAGCAGUAAUCUGUAAACAACGUUCCUGCCCUCAUGGAACUUCCAUUCUAAGGUCAUUCGGGGGGACAACAAUAUCAACUAAAACGCCAGGCAGUGAAAACUCUGAAGAUAAAUGGAAGGAGGCUAUUUUGUGUCACAUCAUGGACGACGUCUCUUGGGAUUAUAUUUGAGUACAGGCCUCGAGAAGUAAGGGCUUGGAAGGCCUGCAGAUAUCUUGGGGAAGGAGUUCCUCUGUUUUAGGGGAAGUAGAAAGAGCCCGAGGUGAGAGUGUCAGGGGAACUUUAGGACCAAUAAGGCCAGUGUGACUGCAGAGGAAGGAGCACCAGGAAUGGCAGUAGGUGACGCCUUCAAAGAGGCAAAGGAAGCCCUUUCUGUGAAGUUUACGGCCCAGGGCAUUGUGCUUGACUCUGGGACUAUGGAGAUGAAUAACUUAGAGUGUUUGACCCCACAGCUAGCUCAGAAGACAGAUGUGACCCAAACUAACCAUACUGCGAUGAGGAUGAGCAAGGGAAAGUCAAGAGGCAACCUAGUGGAUCACAUUCUUCUCUUCCAUUAUGUGGCAACUGCCCUCCUUCUUCUGAAGAUCAGGGUCCUCACUGCUGGCUGGCUGGUGGGUGGCAGCUUCAAAAUCCCAUAUGAACAUCUGUUUUCUUAGACCACCCCUGCCAUUGUUGCAAGUUGAGUCCCUUGGAAGCAGACUCUGAGAUGGGAAUUAGCACAGAAGAAUUGAAUUGGCAACAAGAUUUUAUCUUAUUCACUGAUAUGCCACACAGAUUCUCCAAACUGUUUGAAGCCAGUAAGAGAGAAGGAAGAAAAGACGAUUCUAGGAUGACACCAGAUUUCUGGUUUUGAUAGCUGCAUUGAAGGAAGCUAGUGCUUCAUACCUACUUUCCUUGGGGGAAAAUGAAUGAAAAAGAGACUGAAUUCAAUCUUGAACAUGAUGAGUUUGAGAUGCCCAGAGCAUCCAAGAUAUUGAAAGUUGGAGAUGUUGAGAAUCCAUGGGAUGGACCAGACUGGAGCUGAAGAAGCCACUGGGAUUAGCACCCUGCAACGUUCAGAUGGUACAACUGAGGCUAUAUUGAGGUACUUACCACAUCCAAUUCUUAGCAGGAUGCUUUCAUCAUUGAGUGGAGAAAUUGUGCCUCUGCAUGAGGAGAGCGUCUUCAUAAUGUUACAUAGCACUUAGGAUCCAAGUUCUUAUUCAAUGGGUGUGCUUGAUUUCUGAGCCUGAGACUUCCAUAACACCAUUGACACAGACUUGUGUUGAGAGUUUAUCAGACCCUCCACCUCCCAAUGCUCUUUGUUAUGAAGAAGGAUGCCAACUCUUCUCACCUGACAGCUGCCUCUAGAAAAUUCCUCUCCAAGCCUAUGUCUGUUUUCUAACCACUGACAACUACACCUGCUCUUUGGUACCUGGAUCUCCAUACAAUUGUAGCAUUAUAGAAGGGAGGCAACACUGUCUGGAUGUUGGAGGGCAAUAAAUGAAAAGCCACAUCUCAGAUGUGUCUCUGUGCCUGGUAAUGGUCAUGACCUCUGCAUUUCCCAGACAUUUUCUGAAUGCCAAUAAGUGGGAUACUGGAAGAACUCACGGACCUGCAUGAUGCCACGC